rnacentral:snRNA from 1 species
AUCGCUUCUCGGCCUUUUGGCUAAGAUCAAGUGUAGUAUCUGUUCUUAUCAGAAAUGGAAAGUAAUCCUGUAUAUCUUAAGGAGGUGCUUCAGCAUUUCAGUACAUGGUAAAAAUUUGAAAACUUUCUUUAGGUUUAACUUAUACAGCUCUA